ACCUGAGCUGCAGCAGUGCAACAAGUGUUACAGCAAUUACCAACAAUUUUCUGCUUGACCAGCAUGUUUAAGCCAGCCAAACUGGUCAAAUUAAAAAGUCAUCUUCAAAUCCACUUCAACAAGGCAGUUGUCUGUGGAGUACAUUUUGUUUUGGGAGCACCCUUUGAUUUAACAUCUAGUGACAUUCCAAACAUACGGAGAUGGUGGACUCUUAUUGUUCUGGAGAACUUUGGAGUUUCCUCUGAAAGUGCAGAAAACCUACAAGAGGCCCUUCCAAGUGGAUAACAGGCUAUGCUUGUGAGGAGAUCCCAGUAAUCCCAGACAGACAGGCUCCAUUACAACAGACAUCUGCUCAGGAGGCCAGUUGAAGAGCCUCUUUUCCUUAUAAUGGAGGGAGAGGAUGAGGAAAAGGCCCUCAGCAAUCUCCUGGAACAAUCAGAAGCUUCAGAGUGCCCUUCAUGUUUCAUCUUGUGUUCAGGGGAGUUAUUUUUGCAGGAUUGUCAUAAUAAAAUGGGCCUAGGAGUGAAUUGUUCAUUUGAUGCAUUUGAAUUUAUGCAAGAUUGUCAUGACAAAAUGUGACCAAGAGUGAACUGUUCAUUUUGUAAAUUUUCAUGCAGGAUUGUCAUGAUAAAAUGGGCUUAAUAGUGAAUUCUUCAUUUUAUAAACUUUAAUUUAAUUAUUGUGUACAUUUUGAUUGUUACUUAAAGACAGUGAGUUAACACUAGCCAAAGCAAUAGAACUGUGUCAAAUCCACAAACAGACUGAUCUGUACACAAAGACUCUUGCGGUGCCUAAAAGCAACACUAAUGUAGACAGUGUAUAUAACAAGACAAAGGCUAAAAUGUCACAAAGAUCCACCUCUGAUCGUACAGCCUCUCAGAUCAUAGUAAACUGUAGUAGAUGUGGAGGCAAGCAUGAAGCAAAAAAGGACAAAUGCUUAGCUUAUGGUCAGCAGUGCCAUGCAAAAUGUGUAAUCAUUUCAAAAAGUACUGUAAAACUACACCAAAGCAUAUGACGAAUAGCAUAUGACGAAUAUUCAUUUGACAGGGAUUAUGACCUCUCCUUCUACGUGUUAAAGAGAAAUGUGCAACCUUUGAUAGGACUACCGGACUGUUUACAAAUGAAGCUGGUCUCAUUUAACAAAGAGAUCUACCAUGUGUCAGCAGAUGAUGUUUCAAGUUUCGCAAGCCAGAUUUAUUCAGAAUAUUCAGAACUUUGCAAGGAUGAAAUUGGUAAGCUUCCAGUGACUUAUUCAAUGAAACUGGAUCCAGCAGUGCAUUCAGUUGUAAAACCUGCAUGCAUAAUUCCUGCGGCCAUGCAUGGCAAAGUUGAAGCAGAAUUACAAAGAAUGGUAAGUAUGCGUGUUCUUAUUCUAAUCUCAGAGCCCACUAAAUGGGUAUCAUCAAUGGUAGCAAUGCACAAAAAGAAUUCAGAGGAGAUUAGAAUAUCCAUCAACCCAAGAGACCUUAACAAGGCCCUCCUACAUAGAAGAAGUCGCAUCACAAAUGCCAAAUUCGUCUGUCUUUUCUGUUUUGGAUGUGAAAACUUCCUUCUGGCAAAUUUCUAUUGAUGAAAGAUCAUCAAUGCUGACGACGUUCAACUUCCCAUUUGAGAGAUUCCGAUUUCUGCGCAUGCCAUUUGGAAUCAGUACAGCGAGUGAGGUGUUCCAAAGGGCCAUGGAGCAAAUAUUUGCAGGCUAUCCAUGUGCUGUUAUCGUGGACGACAUCCUUGUAGGAGAAAAGGAUGUAAAAGAGCACAAUUAAAAUCUCAAGAAAGUUCUGGAUUGUGCAUAAAAGGUCAACCUCAGACUUAACCCUCUCAAAUGUAGGUUUUGGCUGCCAGAGGUGUGCUAUAUGGGACAUCUGUUCACAAGUGAAGGACUAAAACCAGACCCUUCAAAUAUUAAGGCAAUCAAGGAAAUGGAAGCCCCAGAGAACGUAACAGCCCUACAGCGCUUUCUAGGGAUUUCAUGCUAUUGUCUGCAAUAGCAUGAAAGAGCACCAACAAAAAGAACCAUUAAAACAGCAUGAUACUCCAGAGUUUCCCUGGUCAGUCAUUGCGACUGAUUUAUUUGAAUGGAAUGACCAACAUUAUCUUGUUCUGGUGGACUCAUACUCAGGAUGGUUUG